GGCUCAGAUUGAACGCUGGCGGCAUGCCUUACACAUGCAAGUCGAACGGCAGCACGGGAGCAAUCCUGGUGGCGAGUGGCGAACGGGUGAGUAAUACAUCGGAACGUGUCCUGUAGUGGGGGAUAGCCCGGCGAAAGCCGGAUUAAUACCGCAUACGCUCUACGGAGGAAAGGGGGGGAUCUUCGGACCUCCCGCUACAGGGGCGGCCGAUGGCAGAUUAGCUAGUUGGUGGGGUAAAGGCCUACCAAGGCGACGAUCUGUAGCUGGUCUGAGAGGACGACCAGCCACACUGGGACUGAGACACGGCCCAGACUCCUACGGGAGGCAGCAGUGGGGAAUUUUGGACAAUGGGGGCAACCCUGAUCCAGCAAUGCCGCGUGUGUGAAGAAGGCCUUCGGGUUGUAAAGCACUUUUGUCCGGAAAGAAAUCCCCUGCCCUAAUACGGCGGGGGGAUGACGGUACUGGAAGAAUAAGCACCGGCUAACUACGUGCCAGCAGCCGCGGUAAUACGUAGGGUGCAAGCGUUAAUCGGAAUUACUGGGCGUAAAGCGUGCGCAGGCGGUUCGCUAAGACAGAUGUGAAAUCCCCGGGCUUAACCUGGGAACUGCAUUUGUGACUGGCGGGCUAGAGUAUGGCAGAGGGGGGUAGAAUUCCACGUGUAGCAGUGAAAUGCGUAGAGAUGUGGAGGAAUACCGAUGGCGAAGGCAGCCCCCUGGGCCAAUACUGACGCUCAUGCACGAAAGCGUGGGGAGCAAACAGGAUUAGAUACCCUGGUAGUCCACGCCCUAAACGAUGUCAACUAGUUGUCGGGUCUUCAUUGACUUGGUAACGUAGCUAACGCGUGAAGUUGACCGCCUGGGGAGUACGGUCGCAAGAUUAAAACUCAAAGGAAUUGACGGGGACCCGCACAAGCGGUGGAUGAUGUGGAUUAAUUCGAUGCAACGCGAAAAACCUUACCUACCCUUGACAUGGUCAGAAACCUGCUGAAAGGUGGGGGUGCUCGAAAGAGAACUGAUACACAGGUGCUGCAUGGCUGUUGUCAGCUAAGUGUCGUGAGAUGUUGGGUUAAGUACUGCAACGAGCGC
rnacentral:rRNA from 1 species